GACGAACGCUGGCGGCGUGCUUAACACAUGCAAGUCGAACGGAAAGGCGCUGCUUUUGUGGGGUGCUCGAUUGGCGAACGGGUGAGUAACACGUGAGUAACCUGCCCUUGACUUUGGGAUAACUUCAGGAAACUGGGGCUAAUACCGGAUAGGAGCUCCUGCUGCAUGGUGGGGGUUGGAAAGUUUCGGCGGUUGGGGAUGGACUCGCGGCUUAUCCGCUUGUUGGUGGGGUAGUGGCUUACCAAGGCUUUGACGGGUAGCCGGCCUGAGAGGGUGACCGGCGACAUUGGGACUGAGAUACGGAGCAGACUCCUACGGGAGGCAGCAGUGGGGAAUAUUGCACAAUGGGCGGAAGCCUGAUGCAGCAACGCCGCGUGCGGGAUGACGGCCUUCGGGUUGUAAACCGCUUUCGCCUGUGACGAAGCGUGAGUGACGGUAAUGGGUAAAGAAGCACCGGCUAACUACGUG
rnacentral:rRNA from 1 species